CUCUACUUUGUUCAUGAUGUGACCACUUGCUCCUUCACCAGUUCCCACCAUGAUAUAUUGCCAUUCAAUAUCUCACCAGAGGCCAAACCCAUGGACUACCUGAACUUGGGCUUCAAAGUUUUAAAAUGGUAAGCUAAGUAAACCUUUUCUCUUUAUAAAACUGGUUUCCUUGAGUAUUCCCCUAUAGUGAUGAAAAGUUGACUGAUACACUCACCUGAAGGACAUUAUAGAACAACUGGGGCACAUUGUAACCAAAUGGUCAGGAUUUGUUGUUCGGCACCCUUAUGUAGACAAGGAAAGUAGGCACAGAGCGAUUAAAAUUAUUUAUCCAAGGGGCUGGGGUUGUAGCUCAGUGGUAGAACGCUUGCCUAGCAUGUGUGAGGCCCGGGUUCAAUCCUCAGCACCACAUAAAAAUAAAUUUUAAAAAUUAUUUGUCCAAAAUGAUAUAGUUAAUAAGGAGUAAAAAGUGGGUUCAAGCCAAGACUUUUGGCUGUAGCGCCCACCCACUUACCCACCACCUUCAGAUCCUCUUAGGAACUGGAACCAGAAACGGGCAGGACCAAGGCAGCCACUGGCCCAGUGUGUGUCUCCCUCCCCACCUCUCCCUCUCUCUUACUCCAUGAUGUCUUAGUUGUCUUCCACCCACGCUUGUUGUGUUUCCCUCUCUGCCUAGUGUGUCCAUUUCCGCCUCCCAAGGCCCAAGUUUGCAUGUCCUCAGUGUAAGAACCACCCAGGUUGGAAUGACUGUGUUCCAGAAAAUCCAAGCUUCCCAAAGGCAGGGUCUGACGGGAACAGCCUGGGUUACACAGCUGUCCUUGGUUCAGUCGACCAGGGCAGAAGGGGUCCUGGACAUGCACCCAGUCUCAGGAGAAGGGGGAAAAGCUGGGAGGGGUGUAGAUUGGAGACCCUGAGUGCACCCCUGCCUUCUGGUCAGGCACCCGGGCAGCAGGACGGGGAUGCUCAUUCAGGCAAGCAGAACAAUAGUGAAGAUGUCCAUCACUAAGUUUCUAGAAUGUGCAUAAACACUGAGCCAUGUAGCAGAAUAACUCUGUGAAGUGCUUGCUGUCAAUCUUAUCACCCUUCCUUACACGAUCCUUGUACAUAACCCAUCAUAUUCUCCCAUGGGCUUCAAAUCAUCUCUAUCUAGAUGGCUGACUCCUAAUAUGAAAUCAAUGCUAUGUGAAUAAUUGCUACACAGUAUUAUUAGGGGAAAAUUACAUGAAAAAACUCAAUAAAGAUACCCCACUUUUUUGCAGUUUUAAUCCAUAAUUAGUUGACUCUGAGCAUGCAGAAGCCACGGACAUGGAGGGUCAGCUGCAGUUGUUUAGGGGCAUGGCCAUGGCCAGGAGUCCAGCCCAGGCGGCCCAUCUCCAGUGCAGGCUCUCUGGUCUACCCCACACUCUGCCUGAGCCUAACUGCUCAGAUGGGCCAGGCCUGCUGCUGAGCUGUUGCAAAGACCAAAUUAAGUAAUGCCUUGGAGAGCUUUAUAAACUCCAUUAAAGAAUGAACAUUUCUCCUCUGUUCCCGUAUGGUUCUUUAUACUGCAAUCAAGGCAGUGGCUCAAUACAAGAGCAGAUGAAGGAUGCCUUCCGGGUUAGGCUGCCCACCCCCAGCUCUUCUCCCACAUUCCACCACCAGGAGAGGCACCCAUGGCCUCGAGCCACGUCUCCAGGAAGACCCAGUGAACCCUAAACAUACAACUUGGAAGAGCAAUAAGCUUUUAUUAUGCCGACAGUCGUGGCUCAUUUUCUUCAUUGAGGGCUUUGAGGGGGUGGUAAAGAGGGUGGGUAAAUCUCACAUCCUGGAUUAAGGACAGGAGGGGAGGCAGGAUUCCAUGCUAGGAGGCAGUGAGGACUAUGGAGUGAGCUGCCCUGGAGCAGAAGUGGCACCUGGUGCCAGCUGUGCCUCUUCACGAACCUGAGCCACCAGAAUCACAGUGUGCUGGAAGGAGCUCCCCACUGUACAGAUGAGGAAACUGAGGCCCAGCCCUGCCCAGGGCCAGGCUGCUUCAGCCUCUUUUCUGGAUCACAGUUUACCACUGUGGGCCCUUCAAUAAUCCUUGAAGGGCCAGGCUGCCCACUCCCAGCUCUUCUUCCACAUCCUGGUGACUUCCAGGAAAGUCGCCCGUAUUCUUCCAGGAAGAUUUCCCCUGCCCUGGGACGGGCAGCAGAGAGUCACCACCAGAGACUCAGGGGUGUGGCAAAGGUCCCAGGCAAAGAGAGGCACAGAGGAUCCUCAGUCUGGGUGCCCCUGAGCACCUUGGCUUCCAUCGCUUUUCUUCUUGGGUUGGAAGCUUUGACUGUAGUAAGAACCUCAGUUCCUCGCGGUCGGCACUCCUUGUAUUCCAUGCUGGCUGCGCCGAGAGCUGUGAGCCUGAAAGGUCUCUCAGGUAAGUCUUUUGGAUGCCACUGAGGAGGUUUUUCAUUUAUCCACCGCCCAACUCUUCUACAUCCCCCGCCAUCUCUCUUCCAAACCUGGGCCCUUCCUCUCACCCAAGGAAAAUGACAGUGAGAGCCGCCUUACGUGGAGCCUCAGCUCACGUCUGUCACUGGAUACUUUCUUGUGACAUCCCCAGCAGAAGGUGGUGCGAUCUCCAUACGGAGGUAAAGAACUGGAGGCUCGGCCACCCCGCAGCACCUUUCCACUUAGGAGACCCAAGGUCAAGUGCACGUCUGUCUGCCUCCAAUUUUCACACCGUCUCAAAUCUCCACUACUCCUAUCUGGCGGACUUUCCCUCUUAUUUUCAAAAGCAAAUUGAGGCCUCCAGGUGGAAGCUGUCCCCACUUCUUGCUGCCCACCUCUAAAAGCACCUACAUCCACAUUCAUUGUCACUUGCUGCCUUUCCUUCUCAAUUCCUCACUGAGCUCAGCCUGUCCACAUCUAGAGGGUAGGGGCCCAGAGGAUACCAAUUUCCAGAUGAGAAACAGACUUGGAGACAUCACAAAAUAAGUGGCAGAACUAGACUCAAAUCCAGAGCCUGGGGCCUUAUCCACUGCACCAGGCAGCUAUGGAUAAGUGCAUGAGUUAUCUUUGAUUCCCAAGGCUUUUAGUCCAGAGAUUUUUCAAGGUGUGGUUUCCAGACUACUAGCAGCUGUGCCUGGGAACUUGUGAGAAAUGCAAACUGUCAGCUCUGGGUGGGGCCCAGCCAUGGGCUUUAACAAGCCCUGCAGGUGAUUCAGGUGCAGGCAAAAGUCUGAGAAUCUCUGCCCUAGUCUAGGGCAUAGUUUUAUAAAUAAAGCUUCCUGGGAACACAGCCAUGCCUGUUUGUUUAGGUAUUGUCUACAGCUGCAACAUCAGAGUUGAGUGGAUGGGACAGAGACACUUGGGUACACAAAACCAAAGUGCUUACUAUUUGGCCAUUUAAAGCACAAGGUUGAGGCCCUGACCCAGACUCUCACCAAAUCCUUCAGAUUUUGUCUUCUUAGUCACCUCCCAUCUGGAUCUGUCUCCACGCUUCUGUUGCCCUUGUUCUGGCCUUCGCCCCCUUCUCUAGCUCAGACUAGUGGGAGAGACUUCUCCUAAGUGGCUGCCUCCCCCAUCCAUCCCCACACAGCUGCAGGAAUGCAAAUGUGACUGUGUCUUCCUUUGCCUUCAAAACCAAACCCAAGCAUUUUUGGCAAUACAUAGUGAAUUCUCCAUGACUCAGUGCUUACCUCCUGAUCAUGUUCAACCACAGGAUGGGAUCCUAAUUGGAAUAAGUUUUAUUUCAUGUAUGUAUAAUAUGUCUAGUGUCAUGUAUAUCUAAAAAGAACAAAUUAAAAAAUGCCCUCUGACUCUUCCCACCCUCUCACGUGGCAAACUGCUCAUCCUACAAGACUCCAUCCAGCUGUCAUCCAAGAAGCCUUCUCCAAACUCCCCACCUUCCUCCUGCCGUCAAUUACUGCACCCACCCUAUUUGGCUUGGCCUCUCCAGCAUCCAGGAGAGGCCCUGGCACAUAGAUCUCAGUAACAGUUCAUUUAACUGAUCAGAGACAAUCUACUGGUCCCUCUCUUACCUUGCGAUCACCUUAGCUCCCCAACCUGUUCAACUCUCAAGUGGAGCAGGUGGUGUUCAUGUUGCCACAUCCUGUUCAGGACAAGAGUCCUGUUUAUGUACGUCGCAUCCUCCAUGGCAAGUGGCACAGUGCCUGAUAACUAGUAGGUACCCAACAAGUAUAACUAAAGGAUAGAGGAAUAAUUUCUGUCUCUCAAAAUCAUUUAUAAAUAUAUAUAUAUAUAUUUUUUUUUUCUUUUCAGGUGAGUUUUAUUUUUAAUCAAUUUUUCUUUUGAUUAAAAUUACAACACACACAUAAAAAUUUUACUUUAAAAAUCACUGAAAAUUCUUAAGAAGAAGGUAAAAAUCACUUAGAAUUCCUCAACCCAUGUAAAUGUUGCAAUGGAUUUCCUCCCUGUGAUUUAUUAUGCUCAAGAUCUCAGGGAUGGAAAGGGGACGUGCUGGGUGAAUACGUGUAUGUGUGUGUGUGUGUGUGUGUUUAAAUCCCACUGUUCCUCGGUUCUACUUCUGGCUAAUUGAUCAUAGGAUGACUGCUUUGGGUGGCUCUCACUUAUUAAACCUUGAUUUCUGAAAAUUCACAUUGCUAUCACCUUCAUUCACAUGUUCACAUUAAUAGGGAAAGCAAGCAAAGAGCCUCCUACGUGCAUCAGAGAUCUUGCCUUUAAGAACAAAGAACUGAAAACGUACUGUAAGAAGCUUCCAGUGAGAUGGGUGUGUGUUUGCUUCUUGGCAGUUCACUCUUCUGAGGCAGGGUUGAAGGAAGUGUCCCAGCUCAGGUCAGCCUUGCUGGGAAAAGCCCUGGGGGGCAGGUGGGAAGGAACCUGAGCCAUGGUACAGAACAUGGCAAGGGAGUCACCCAAGAGGACAAAAGAGGAGCAGAAUUGGCACUAGAAGCACAAGAAGGUUGGCUUUGGUGCAAAUUAAUGGCUCCUAUGUCGAUGUUAAGCAUGCUGAGAUUAGUGCAGGUUUCUAAAUGAUACUAUCUUCACGUAUUCUCCACCCAGUUCUGAACCGUUUAAAAUAAGAGAGGACUGUGGCUGUGGAGAUCAAAAUGACAGAGCCAUCUUAGAGGGCCCAGCCUAGGCUCAUGGAAACAUUGGACUUCUUUUUCCUGCUGACCAGAAUCAGAUGACUUGACACCCCUUCCUCGACAGUGGUGGCCUCCUGAGGAACUGAGCCUCCCCAGAAAAAUUUAACAGCCAAGUGGAAUGUGUGCUGGUGUCAGCAGCUGGGCCCAAAGGAAAAGUAAGUACUUCCAAAUCUGCCAACCAGGUCAUUCACUCCUCCUCCCCAGGAAAGUGUGAGCACAGGACCAGAAAGAAGCCAGGAGUGUUACAUGCAUUGAUGUCCCUUUGCGUGGAAACAAAGCCAGAGCAAACAGAGGUUCCAAAUGAGAGGCAUGAGGAGUUCCAAGUAUUUCAUCUCUAAUUCUGAACAAACCUGCAAGAGGAUAUUAAUAUUUUCAUUUUUAAGAUGAGAAAAUUGAGAGGAGUAAAAUAAGAGCACAAUGACAUACCACUGGCAAGUGAUGGGGCAAGGAUUGGGAUGGAGAUUUUGCUCCUUCUACUGUGGUCGCCGGCCUUCUCCUUGCCUUUAUGAGCCAUUCAUUGCUGAGCUGCACUUCUGCUGGCUGAGAAGCCUUGAUAGCAAAGCAUGCAAUGGGUUCAGGGUGAAGGGGCCAUGAGCACAGUAAAAAUAGCAUUAAAAAAAACAACAAAAAAAAAAACCUUGGGCUGGGGUUGUGGCUGAACGGUGAGCGCUUGCCUUGCACAUGUGAGGCACUGGGUUUGAUCCUCAGCACCACAUAAAAAAUAAAAUAAAGGUAUUGUGUUCACCUACAAAUAUAUAUAUAUAUAUAUAUAUAUAUAUAUAUAUAUAUAUAUAUAUAUAUAUAUAUAUAUAUAUAUUUUAAUCUCACUUAAAGGAAUAAGGAGAAGACCACUUUGUUUGGAAUGAUCAAGCAGGUAGAAGAUUCAAUGUAAGUCAGGCUUUGAAGGAAAAAGAGGAUUCCAGUGAACAGUUUGCUUCUUGUUUCUGAUUAUUUUUAUGUUAGUUCAUAGAAAUCAGCCCAAAUACCCCUUGUUCUUUUCUCAUAAUUUCUAGUAGUGGUUUAAGUUUGGGUUCUACCAUCAAUGAUCUGGGGCAGGUUUCUUGCCCUUCCUGAGUUUUCAAGUCCUCCUUUGUGCAAAGUGAUUGUGGUAAAGACUAAAUUAGAUGAAAGUGCUGGGUCACAGCUUGGCUCAAUGUUUUUCCCUCCAUGCUCUCUUGCUUUCGAGUCAUUUUUCAUUGCUGCUUUCAGAAACCCUGCCACCAGUUCACUUCUGGAGGCUCCCCUGACUUCAAUGCUACCUGCCAUUGAUACUGACAGCCACUGGAUGACAUUCUUGGCCUUUGCUCAAAUUCUUAUCUCCAGUCCCCGCACAAACAUCCUCCCCUCACAGGAGCAGAAACAAGAUGUUCUGAUCCGACUCUUCUCUGGAUACCUGCUGUUCUGCACAAUGAAGCACCUUUCUGUUUGGGAAAUGAGAGCUGGUGACUGUGGAUCCAGGUCUCUGGAAGGAGAGAGUUCUCCAGCCAUUUGUUACCUUAAUUAAUCCUUUCAACAGCCCUUAAAAUAACUGGUGCUUAGAGAAGUUGGUUCACUGGUCCAAGCUUUUUUUUCCAGAAGAUAAUUGGUGAAGGUGAGAUGGGACCCUAGUACCCAAGCUUCUGCUGGUACCCAAGCCUCUUAUCAGGGUGCUACUUCUCCUGCAUCUCCUUCCUGUUGAGUGGCUUUGGCUGGGACACUUCCCCUCUGUGGGCCUCACUGGUCACAUUUGUGAAAUGGAGGCAGAGGACACGUGACAUGCUUACUAAGAUCCAUCCCUAUUAGAACGCUUUCCACGAGAUUAGGAGCAACACCAAAUGGCAAUCCGUCCUGCUAAGGCAGCAUUUUACAGUUCAUAGAUCCUUCUCGUGAAGCAGAUCACCUGGAAACAAGAUAUGCCCAAAUGGCCAGACCACGCCCCUGAGUCACUGCUCCAGGAAAAUCUGUGCGGAGAGGGGCGGUUCCAAGAACAGGCCUGGCUGCCUCACCCUGAGGUCCCAGGAGGCACUGCCUGUCCUUGCAACACAGGCUGCCUUCUCAGACCUGGCAGGGGUCCCAUGUAGGAUGAUCAGAACAUAAAGCCACGUCCUGGUACAAUCUGGGCAAUGCAGGACCAGGGACUGGACAGUAUAGGCCUCAAGGAACACCUAGGCAGAGUCGCUGUGAACACUUCUGGAACCCAGACUUGCCCAGCCUGUGGGCUGCCGGAAGAGACCUGUCAUCCAUCACUUCUGGUAGUCCAUUGUCGCAUUCACUCACUCAUUCAACAAACAUAUAAAGGACACAUCCAUGAUGAGACCUCAUUGUGCUAGGCACUUAGGAUAAAAGAUGGUGUCUCCUUCUCCUAAGGGAGGGGGUGGAGAACCAAGUACACAGGCAGAUUAACCCAGCCAGUGCAACAUUUGUUAGCCGUGGGACCCCACAACACUGCAUACCCUCUCUGAGCUUCCGUUUCCCCAUCAGCCAAACAGGGUUAGUAACAUUGCAUUCUUAGCUUCAUCCUCCAGAGCUUCCCCCACCCUUUGGGUCACUUCCCAUUUCCCAAACACAUCAUUUAAGGUCCCAUUCCUUCACCUUACUAUUCCUUCUUCCUUUCCUGAGAGCAUUUAUUUUUUCCCCUUUGUCUCCAAUCACAUCAAUUCUCAUCUUCUGAUCUUUGCCAAAUGCAAUGGGGAAAUGGUCUCUUCUUGAUGGUUCUAAUUCAUGGUUCUGAUCCUUAGAGAAGGGCUGUCCCUUCCCCAUGUCUCCAAAGUACCCCACAACCCAUCACCAAGGCUAGUCUCAGCACACACUAGAGGAGGAAUAACUAUUUGCUGAAUGAAUAAAUCCCACAAGAUUAAGUUAGCACUAUCUGACUUCCCAGGCAGAACAAUUAUUGGUCUCCUCCAUUAAAUUGCAAACUCCUCCUGUGCAGACCCUGGCUGAGAGAGAACGUUAGUGUUUAGUAAACAGUAGUAAAAGUGAAAAACAAGUUGGUCAAGGAAGGGAUUACUGUCUUUGUUUUAGGAAUGACUCAGGUUCUGAAAAAUCCUAAAGGACUCGGUGAAUCAUUCUGGAAGGUGAGAAACAGGCCCAAUUACAGGGGUCCCAGGGCAGCCUCACUUCCUGCCUUGAUUCUGAGCUGUCAGACCAGUGCUCUCCUAGGUAGUUUUAAAAAGAACUUAUUUCACAAAUUCUAAAUGCACAUGUUUAACAUCCCAGAACUUGGGAUGCAUUUUUCUUUGUUUAAUGGUAUGUAAAAUAGUGAUAAUGUGUCUUACAACCAAUGCGUCAUAAGAUUUGAUCAAAUACAUUAUUAGUUGUAAUUAGAAAAAGAAAAAUACAAGUAAUCAAGUUCACCCUCACUCGUUAUCACAGCAAUAAAAAUCAGAGCUAUAAAGCAGAGACCCUUUCCCCCUAUUGCAUUUAGCAAAAAUCAGAAGAGGAAAAAAUUAUGUGGUUGGAGGGAAAGGGAAGGAUUCUCUCCUAUAGAAUCAGUGAAACGAUGCAUUGAUAUAAACUUUUGGCUGGGUGUGGUGGUGCAUAUUUAUAAUCCCAGCACCUCAGAAUGCUUAGGCAGGAGGAUGGCGAGUUCAAAGCCAGCUUCAGCAAAUUAGUGAGGCCCUAAGCAACUCAGGGAGACCCUGUCUUAUAAAAUAAAAUAUAAAAAAGGACUGGGAUGUGUCUCAGUGGUUAAGGUCCCUGGGAUCAAUCCUAGGUACAAAAAAACAGAAGUUGUACUCCAUGUAAGUAUGAUAUGUCAAAAUACAUUCUACCGCCAGGUGUAACUAAGAAGAACAAAUAAAUAAAUAAAUAAACUUUUGGGGGAAGGAAUUUGAAAUUUUUUUGACACAUGAAAAAUGCUUGCCCCUUAACCCAGGCACUCCAUUUCUAAGAGUUUAUCCUAGGAUGAAUUUGUGUUUGCACUCUGAUUUAUCUACAAGCAUAUUCUAAGAAGCCUUGUUAAUAGUAAGAAAAACUGGCAGCAAUGUACCUUUGGCAGUUAAGAUUGAAUAAAGGUAAUUGGAUGAAGUUAAAUAAUACAAAAUAAUGAAAAAUACUGUUAAUAAUUACAAUCAGUUCUAAAUCAUAUGUAUUUAAUGUGCAUGUACAGAAAAAAACGAUUUGUGAUACUUGGCUUUACUAACAAAACUUAGCUUUAUUCCGAUUCCACUUUUAUUUGAAAAAUUAUUCCAGAUUGAUAACCACCCUGGUAACUGGAAGGAUGACCUGGGCUUAAUAAAAUUGCAGGUGUUUCAUUUUUACAGCUAAGUCUUAAUAACUUUUAAAAAUUGUAAGUCCACUGUUGUUUUUAAAUUUGUUUAUCUUUGGGGAGUACUGGGGAUUGAACCCAGGGGCACUCUCCCACUGAGUGGUAUUUUGAGACAGCGUCUCACCAAGCUGCCAAGGUGGGCCUUCAACUGGUAACCUUUCUGCCUUGUCUCCCUGGGAUCACAGCAUGCCCCACCACACCCACUCUGUGCUUCUUUAAAUGUAUUGUUUUAAAACAAUUUCCAACUUACAGAAAUGCUUUAAGAGUGGUAAAAACAACUCUAUAUACCAAUUACCCAGAGUGGCCAAGUUUUGACCCAGGGCCUCUUCUCUGUUAUUUCUGUCAUGCACAUACAUUCUGGCUUCCCUCUUUUUCUAUAUCUGUGCUUGCAGAAUUAUUUUUUAUGAAACAUUUGAGAGUAAGCAUGCCCUUUUACCAUUUAAUAUCUCAGUGUGCAUUUCUUAAGAAAGAAGAUAUUCUCUUAACAGUAGAACCAUCAGCAAAUUCCAGAAAUACACUAUUGAUACAAUAUUUUUAUGUGAGCUACAGUCCAUAUUCCAACUGAACCGAUUGCCUCAAAGUACAUAGCAUAGCAAGUGUGUUUGUUUGUUUGUUUGUUUUAUUUUGUUUGCAAUACUGGGGAUGGAAUCAGGGGCCUCACCCAUGCUAGGUAAGAGCUGAACUACGCCCCCUAACUCUUUUUUUUCUACUUAAUCUGAAGCAGCACAUCAGCCUUUCUUUGACUCUCAUGGACCGAGGGGUUGUCCUCCAUAUAAUUCAGGUGGUCUGAUGCUUUCUCAUAAUUUGGCUCCGUUUAUGCAUUUCUGGCUGGAGCAUCCUACGUAAUGUUGUGUCUUUCUCAAGGUAUCAUGUCUAGGGACACAUGAUGUCUGUUUGUCCCUCAGUAAUAUUACUAGUGCCACUCAAGUUGUAUCACUUAGUCAUCAUUUGUGCCUUCUCCACAGUGUGGUUUCUAUCUCUCCUUCUCAGAUCAUUCAUAUGAAGACACUUGGAGACUGGAAAUUUCCUAUUUCUUAUCAGAUUUCUUCCCCACCUAUUGAGGAUUCAAUGCUAAAUCUUGUUUGAAUCAAUUUUUACUACAUAGUUGCAGAAUGGUGAUUUUUAAAAAUGUAAUCCUUCCUUCUAUGCUUCUUAAUCAUAAGAAAGAGCUUCACAUUUAUUUAUUAUCGAAAGUUAUUUUAUGCAAGGGGUUAAGAUUCAUCACUGUCCAUUUUUAUCUUGAUGCUCAGAAUUUAUCCUAGGUCGGGCCAGUUUGCCCAGCGGGGGCUGUUCACGCAUGCUUCUGUGCCUCUUUGACGUGCUCCGUAAUCUUUUUGUGUGUUUGCCUGCUUAGCCCUUCUUGUCUUCCUUUUGGCACAGCUUAGACGUUCCAGACUUCUCUCAGCCUCUCUAUGCUGUAACCUUGGAAUCAGCCACUUCUCCAUGGGGACUGGUGGCUUGUAGUGGAUAUUGGCAUUUAGAAACCAAGAUCUGGCUGCAUAGAGAUGUUUCAUUUUCUUCUUUUCAGUUGUUUGUAUCUUCUACUUUUUAAAAACGAAUGAAGCACAUAUGCCUUUAUAAUAAGAAAAGGUUGAAGUCAUUUUUCACAUUGUUCUUUAAAGGGAAGAAAAACAAACAAAACAGAGUGGGCCCUGGGAGCCAAAAUUCCUGAGACCCAUGAGAAAAAAUUUCCUCUGCAGACUUUUCAAAUGCCAGAGGAAGUAGCUCCAAAACAGAGAUGGGCCCCAGGAAGUCCUGGCAGGGAGCUGUCCUUCAUCCUUAGAGGGCAGGAAGGCACACACGGAGUUCUUUUGCUGGAUAGAUCUGCAGAACUGGCCUGGAGACCCAGCGUGGCAUCCCCAUGGUGAUGGAACAAGACCCCCACAGACAGACUGUUCACCCAAACCAAUUGCCCACACAAGAUGGUGCCAUGUGCCCCAACCCCCAAUUCUCUAUUGACACUAGGCGGGCAGGCUGGCACAUCUGCCUCCAGCCCCGGGCACACUCAUCCACGCCUGCCCCGGGACCCAGAGUGGGUUGGAAGAAGGAGGGACGUGUGGCUAGGGGCUGUGAACGCUCAUGCUUGUUUAACUAUUCUAAUUAAGUUUUGAUAUGCUGCCCACAUGACCAACCCCUGCCUUUUCACAAGAGCAACUGGCUGGGACUGUCCCAAAUAGCUCUGUUUGACUAACAGUCACCCCUUGACCUGAGGCCUUUCUGAGGUCCUGAGUAACCACUUAACCAUGGACUGGUCCGUGGUUGGAUUUCUAGAAGAAUUUAGGUCAGGGGCACAGCUAUGGCAGCUCCUGGGAACAGCCAUCCCUAGGAGGAGUAGGGGCAGGGAGGGAUGGCCAUUCCCUUGCACCCCUUUCUUGUUCCCUCCAGAAGUGGCAUGAAUAUUGCCACCCUCGUUUUGUUCUUGCAUAAAACUGCACACUCUUUCACGCCAAGGCCCUCAUCUCCCCACGAGAACGCCCCCUGCAGGCCGGCCCCCUGACUUCCACCCCCAGGGAUUCUUCGUCUGGGUUUCUUACAACGCUGAUCUCAUCGCUGGGUCACCAAAUGUCACCCUUCCUCUCUGUGAGCUAGGAGGCCAGAGGCUGUGGCAGUUCAUUCUUGCGUCUUGGUGCCAACCACAGCGUCUUCCAGUAGAAUUCAGUAUGAACUGGAAGGAAAGAAGGAAGCAGGGCGGGAGGGAAGGAGAGGAGCUGCAGUGGGGAAGGCCAAGCAGAGGGGUGUGGGGCACAGCCGUGUUCCCGAAACCGAGCUUCAGGGCUGGCCCCAUGCAAACCACCCUCCCUGCCGGCUGCCUGCCCCAGGCACUCACACCCCUGCUGCAUGUGCUGUGCAGGACUCAACACCCUCUGAGGGGCCCUUCACCUAUGCACCUGCUGACUUUUGUCUUCCAACCUUGCCCUGCCUUCAGGGGCUCCCUGUAGCACUCCUAAGCCCUCAGCUACUUGCUGAGGGGUGAGAGUGGGGCAUGGACAGACUCUGGCUCCUUUGAAGACCUACAUUCUGCUCCCAAUGCCUUGGUUUGGUGCUUUUUAAAAAAUAUUUAUCUUUUAGUUGUAGUUGGACAUAAUUCCUUUAUUUUAUUUAUUUUUAUGUGGUUCUGAGGAUCGAACCCAGGGCCUUGCAUGAGGUCAGCAAGUGCUCUACCGGUGAGCCCCAGCCCUGGUUUUGUACUUUUUAUAACAGGCAUGUUCAAUUUAAGAUGCACCCCCCCCAACCUCUUGGGGAAGGUAACAACCUACAGAAUGUUCUCUCUUUUCUCCAAGCUUCUUUGUUACUUCCUGUUUUUUAUCUGAUGUGCAUUCAUUGAGUGCCUACUAGGAGCUGCACACUGUACUAGACAGUAGAAGUACAAGCACAGCUCAGGCACAGGGUCCCAUGGGAUUCCUAGGGAUGAAUGUCAGGAAGAAGGUGAGGGGUGGGUGGGCACGGGGGCGUGUGGAUCCUCCUAGCACAUCCUGUCCACCUCCACCUGGCACCAGACAACUGUGCUUAUGGAACGACUUAGGAGCCUGGUUAAAUGACAAGCACCAUACAGUACAUACAGUAGCAUUAAGUGUGAUGAUUGUACCUCAGAAUGUUCUAUUUGGUAUGAAAGAACAUGGUUAUUUGAAAUUACUGUGAUAAAGAUGCUAAAGCUAUUCUGGCUAAGAGGUGACAAUUUUCUGUCACUGCCUAUGACAUACAUAAAGGGAGGUGGCGGGAGGGUCCCUCCUCUUCUUGAGAAUGAGGUGGAAUGUACUUUUCUGGAAGUGGAGUGAAGAGGAAGCCUGGUAUUCCCCAGGUAAAGGACAUUCUGAUCCAUUCUACAUAUUCUCAUAACUUUAUUCUGAUUAUAAAAUUAAUAUGUACUCAAUCUGAGGAUAAAACCAGAAAAUAUAAAUAGGAAAAGGACAGUCUUUUUAUUUUUUCUCUUUCCACUUUUUUUUGGGUGCAUUUUAGUUUUACAUAAUGGUGGAAUUUGUUGUUAUAUAUUCCUACAUGCACACAAUAUAGCAAUAUAAUUUGGCCAAUAUCACUCCCUGCUUCUUCUCCACCUCUCAUCCCGGGUCCCUUUCCUCUACUGAACUCCCUUUAUUUUCAUGAGGACCACCCCCACCACACACACACACACACACACACACAACUUUCUUUUCUUUUUUCCUCUCUAGAUUCCACAUAUGACAGAAAACAUGGCCCUCACCUUCUGAGUCUGGCUUAUUGUGCUUAACAUAAUUGUCUCUAAUUCUAUCCAUUUUCUUUUUGGCCGAAUAAAACUCCAUUGUGUUUUAUGCCACACUUCCUUUUUAAAAUUAAUUAUUUUAUUUGUUUUAAUUAGGUGAAUAUGACAGCAGAAUGCAUUUUGAUUCAUUGUGCACAAUUGCAGCACAUCUUUUCAUUUCUCUGGUUGUACACAAUGUAGCAUCACACCAUAUGUGCAGUCACACAUGUACCUAGGGUAAUGAUGUCCAUCUCAUUCCACCAUCUUUCCUGCCCCCAUGUCCCCUCCCCUCCUUUGCCCAAUCAAAGUUUUUCCAUUUUCCCAAUGCCCUCCCCCCAUCAUGGAUCAGCAUCCACUUAUUACAGAGAACAUUUGGCCUUUGGUUUUUGGAUUUGGCUAACUUUACUUAGCAUGAUAUCCUCCAACUCCAUCCAUUUACCUACAAGUGCCUAAUUUUAUUCUAUUUUAAUGCUGAGUAAUAUUCCAUUGUGUAUAUAUACCAUGGUUUCUUUAUCCAUUCAUCUAUUGAAGGGCAUCUAGGUUGAUUCCACAGUUUAGCUAUUGUGAAUUGAGCUGCUAUAAACAUAGAUGUGGCUGCAUUACUAUAGUAUGCUGAUUUUGAGUUCUUUGGGUAUAGACUAAGGAGUUGGAUAGCUGGGUCACAGGGUGGUUCCAUUCCAAGUUUUCUAAGAGAUCUCCAUACUGCCUUCCAGAUUGGUUGCACCAAUUUGUAGUCCCACCAGCAAUGUAUGAGUGUGCCUUUUCCCCCACAUCCUCACUAACACUUAUUGUUGCUUGAAUUCUUGAUAAUUGCCAUUCUGACUGGCAUGAGAUGAAAUAUUAGAGUAGUUUUGAUUUGUAUUUCUCUAAUUACUGAAGAUGUUAAACAUUUUUUUCAUUUAUUUGUUGAUCGAAUGUUGGGGGCUGGGGAUAUAGCUCAGUUGGUAGAGUGCUUGCCUUGCAUAUACAAGGCCCUGGGUUCAAUCCCCAGCACCACCAAAAAAAAAAAGAGCAAGAUAUGGCACACUUUCUUUAUCUAUUCACCCAUUGAUGGACACCUAAGCUGGUUCCCUAGUUUGUGAAUUGCGCUGUUAUCAAUAUGGGUAUGCAUUUAUCACUAGAGUAUGAUGAUUUAAAUUCUUUAAAUAAAAAGGAGUGGUAAGCUGGGUUAUAUGGUGGUUCCAUGCCUAGUCUUUUGAGGAACCUCCAUAUUUAUUUCCAUAGUGGUUGUACUAAUUUAUACUCCCACCAGUAGUGUAAUAGUGUUCAUUUUUCUCCACAUCCUCGCCAGCAUUUAUUAUUGCUUAUAUUCUUUUUUUUCACAGAAUACUUUUAUUUUAUUUACUUGUAUGUGGUGCCUCACAGGUGCUAGGCAAGCGCCCUGCCACCGAGCUGCAGCCCCGACCCCUGUUGUGUGUGUCCUUGAUGACUGCCACUCUGACUGGUGUGAGGUGAAAUCUCAGUGUAGUUUUGAUUUGCGUUUCUCUAAUUGCUAAUGAUGUCAAGCAUUUUUUUUCAUAUAUUUGUUGGGCAUUUAUAUUUCUUCUUUUGGGAAGUAUCUGUUUAAUUCAUUAAAUGCAUUAAGUGUCAUUAAAUUUAUUCAUUAAUUUAAUCCACUUGCCCAUUUAUUAAUUGGUUAUUUACUUUUUUGGUGUAAAGUUUUUUGAGUUCUUUCUAUAUUCUACAUAUUAAUCCUCUGUCAGACGAGUAGCUGGCAAAAAUUUUCUCCAUUCUGUGUUCUCUCUUCAUAUGCCUUUGUUUCCUUUGCUGUGCAGAAGAUUUAUAAUUUGAAGCUAUCCCAUUUAUUAACUCUUGGCAUAAAGACAUUCUCUUUAAAUCUCUCCCCAAAGCAUACAUCUAUAAAGUAGUAGACUACUAUUACCUUUGAGGUAUUCUUAGUCUCACUCCUAAGCAAGAGUUUACUGUGCGCAUUUGAGAACAUGCUACCCAUAUAAUACCUUCUCUUGCUUUUCUCACUUGGUUUGCCAUAAAUAUUUUCCCACAUGAUUAAAAAAUGCAUCAUAAGUGAGGAAUUCAAGUUGCAGAAAAAUACAUAUAGUCUGGUACAAGGGGAAAGAAAAAACACACGCAACCCAAAUAAUAUAUAUUUUCUAUGCCUAUGUGGAAUGUUAACUCUGUGAACUACAAGCCCAAAAUAGUAGGAUAUCUCUGGGAAGGUGAAGAUGGAGAAUGAAGCUGAUGCAGAAAAGCAACAAAAAUAGUAGCUUUGCCUGUGAUGCCCAGAGGUUCAAGUUCUCAAAUGUUGUAUAUAUAAGUGAAUUUGCUUUUAAGGUUAAAACUUUAUUAAGUCAUAAUUACACUGCUUGAUGUUAGACAAAAUGACUGAAUCUUACUUUAUUUUAUUUAAGAUUGGACAUCAGAAUUUUUUUUCAAAAUUUUAACUAUUCUACAUAAUUUCUAUUUAUUGGAUACAAAUCUGUCUUAAGUCAUUUCCUCUGAGUUCAUCCCUGUGAGUGUCUGAGUCACCACGUCUCCAUAAGCGCCAAGUGAUAUCAAUUUUUAAAAUUAUUACUAAUUUUGUACUGACUCAUUUAAUUUUAAUUAGUACUUCUCCAUUACUAGUAGAGCUAAAAAUUUUUGGAAUAUAUUCAUUAGCCAUUUUCACUGAGGAGGGACUUUUCCUCAUAAACUUUAAGGGAAGAAACUCUUACAGGAGGGGCGUACCGGGAAUUCAGAUUGAGCAGAACUUUUCUUUUUGUUUCUUAAAUCCUUGAAACUUUCUUCCUUUCAUUGCACAGGAAAAAGAGAAGCAAAGAAAAGGCAGUUUGGGGACCAGACAGCAGGAGUGACAUAAGCCAUGGGUCAGCUUGAACUCCUGAAGAGCAGCCCUGGUCACAUUGUCGCUGACUUGCCCACAUCUCCAGUGUCUCCCCACACCUGACGACAGAAAGUCCUCCUCUGUGGAAACCAACCUUCUCAGGCGUGUUUCCCUCGCCUCUCACACACACCCGGUCCCCCAUUCGCCAGGUUCGUGGCCAUCCUUCAACCACACACAGCCUGACCUCUUCUCUUCUUUGCUCACACUGUAAUUCCCUCCCCUGCGAUGCCCUCUCCGCUGUCCCAACACCAACCUUUCCUUCUUCCAAUGAAGAAAGUAUCACUUCUUCUGCAAUCAGGCUUUUGCUCAUCCCUAAGAUUCAAGUGAUUUUUAAAAAAUUCUUUUAAAUGACUAUUUGUUCUCGAGGCAAGCAUUAAAGGCCAAGAUUUAAGCCCAGGUUUG
rnacentral:lncRNA from 1 species